AAAAAGGGCUUCUGUCGUGAAAAGCACACGUAGGGCAGCUACAACAUCAAGAGAUUUUGGAAGCAUAAUUUUUUGCUACCUGAGCAGCUGGUGAUCAUUGUUUCCUGCACACCC
ensembl:snRNA